GUCGGUGUAGCUCAGUGGUGGAGCGCCGGUCUCAUAAUCCGGAGGUCGUGGGUUCAAAUCCCGCCACCGACA
rnacentral:tRNA from 1 species